AUAAAAUAACAACAACACCGGCAAGUUGUCGUGACCUUUCAUUAUCAUAUCCAUUCUCUCUAGCUCUAACAGUGUUGUCUGAAAUAUGAACACAAGUUAGGCUUGCAGUGCUGCCAUGUCUUGGAGUCCAGGAAGGAGAAGUUCCUUGUUGAGCAAUUGUGCACUUGAAUGGUAGAAAGUUGCGAAGGCUGUUAACAUGCCAGAAUGAGAAGAAGCUAGAGCAAGAAUCUCUCAUCUGGAUUUAUUCUGAAGAAGCUUCUGUUUUCUCAAGAAGAAAACAAGAAGUUGCGUGAAGAGUCUUUCCACCUCAUUUUCAAGGAGAGAGUUGUUUUUCUUCAGCAUCCUUUCAGAGACACUAAAGAGAGAUUAAAAAAGAAGGAUAUUUUCUUAUCUUCAUUCCAAAAUGUGGAAAACAAUGAUCUGCCUGGUGGAUAAGGGAAAGGCUGUUGACCUGGCCUACCCCAACUUCAGCAAAGCCUUCAACACUGUCUCCCACAGCAUUCUCCUGAAGAAGCUAGGAGCCCGUGGCUUGGACAGUUCCAGUCUGAGAAAUGAGCUCUUUGAAUGAUGGAAAUGAUGGAAUUAAAAGCUCUUUUGGGUCAGUCUGCUCCAGUGGAUGUCAUGUCUCUUCUCACAUGGCAGAAACAUGGACAGAGCUAAGGAAAAGCUAAGACC
ensembl:lncRNA